UUUAUUAGAUCUAGAUCUAAAUCUAGUUGAAGAUAUCUACUUGGUAGUCUAAACCUCAAAGGAGCUUAGGGAAGUGAUGGCAGUUGCAGGGUAUGAACCAGACGACCAUGCAGAGACCAACGAGGCGACCAAACAG
rnacentral:sRNA from 1 species